rnacentral:piRNA from 1 species
UAAGUCAUUAUUUCUUUAAAAUUGCCUA